rnacentral:rRNA from 1 species
AUUGAACGCUGGCGGCAGGCCUAACACAUGCAAGUCGAACGGUAACAGUAAACAGCUUGCUGUUUCGCUGACGAGUGGCGGACGGGUGAGUAAUGUCUGGGAGACUUCCUGAUGGAGGGGGAUAACUACUGGAAACGGUAGCUAAUACCGCAUAACGUCGCAAGACCAAAGAGGGGGACCUUCGGGCCUCUUGCCAUCGGAUGUGCCCAGAUGGGAUUAGCUAGUAGGUGGGGUAACGGCUCACCUAGGCGACGAUCCCUAGCUGGUCUGAGAGGAUGACCAGCCACACUGGAACUGAGACACGGUCCAGACUCCUACGGGAGGCAGCAGUGGGGAAUAUUGCACAAUGGGCGCAAGCCUGAUGCAGCCAUGCCGCGUGUAUGAAGAAGGCCUUCGGGUUGUAAAGUACUUUCAGCGGGGAGGAAGGGAGUAAAGUUAAUACCUUUACUCAUUGACGUUACCCGCAGAAGAAGCACCGGCUAACUCCGUG